GGCCGCAGUAUUUUGACUGUGCAAAGGUAGCAUAAUCAUUAGUCUUUUAAUUGAGGGCUGGUAUGAAUGGUUGGACGAGGUAAAAGCUGUUUUAUUUUAAUUGUUAUUGAAUUUAGAAUUUAAGUAAAAAAACUUAAAUUUUAUUAAGGGACGAGAAGACCCUAUAGAGUUUAAUAUGUAUAGUUUUAAUUGAGUUAUAAAAGUAGUUUUUGGUUAAUUAUGAAAUAUAUUUAAUUGGGGUGAUGGAAAGAUAAAUUUAACUCUUUUUUAAUUUUAAUGAUAUGGUUAGUAAAAUGAUCCGUUAUUUAGUGAUUAAAAGAUUAAAUUACCUUAGGGAUAACAGCAUAA
rnacentral:rRNA from 1 species